rnacentral:rRNA from 1 species
AUUGAACGCUGGCGGCAGGCUUAACACAUGCAAGUCGAACGGUAACAGAGGAGCUUGCUCUUGCUGACGAGUGGCGGACGGGUGAGUAAUGUAUGGGGAUCUGCCGAAUGGAGGGGGACAACAGUUGGAAACGGCUGCUAAUACCGCAUAAAGUCGCGAGACCAAAGUAUGGGACCUUAGGGCCAUACGCCAUUUGAUGAACCCAUAUGGGAUUAGCUAGUAGGUGAGGUAAUGGCUCACCUAGGCGCAGAUCUCUAGCUGGUCUGAGAGGAUGAACAGCCACACGGGGACUGAGACACGGCCCAGAGUCCGAGUGGAGGCAACAGUGGGGAAUAUUGCACAAUGGGGUGAACCCUGAUGCAGCCAUGCCGGGUGUAUGAAGUGGGCCUUCGGGUUGUAAAGUACUUGCGGUAGUGAGGAAGGAGUGGUAUCUAAUAGGUGCUACUAUUGACGUUAACUACAGAAGAAGCACCGGCUAACUCCGUGCCGGCAGCCGCCGUAACAC